GCCUAGUUAGCUUGGAGGGUAGUGCGUCUGCCUUGUAAGCGCUAGGCCGCGGGUUCGAUUCCCGCACGGGGCG
rnacentral:tRNA from 1 species